rnacentral:rRNA from 1 species
CAAUAGCGUAUAUUAAAGUUGUUGCAGUUAAAAAGCUCGUAGUUGGAUUUGUGGCGUACGGUGUGUUCCGGGCACUUGUUGUCUGAGUAACCUGCUGUUGCCAUCCUUGGGUGGAACCUGUGUGGCAUUAGGUUGUCGUGCAGGGGAUGCCCAUCAUUUACUGUGAAAAAAUUAGAGUGUUCAAAGCAGGCUUAUGCCGUUGAAUGUAUUAGCAUGGAAUAAUGAGAUAGGACUUUUUUGCUAUUUUGUUGGUUUGCGCAAAGAGGUAAUGAUUAAUAGGGACAGUUGGGGGUAUUCGUAUUCCAUUGUCAGAGGUGAAAUUCUUGGAUUUUUGGAAGACGAACUACUGCGAAAGCAUUUACCAAGGAUGUUUUCAUUAA